rnacentral:misc_RNA from 2 species
CCUAGAGUUGUAGGCUUUGCCUGCCAUCUCUUACCCAUGUCUUUUGAGUACCUUACGUUUCCUCGGUGGGUUCGCCCGCCGGCUGGACAAAACUUAAACCCUUUGUAGUUGCAAUCAGCGUCUGAAAAAACUUAAUAGUUA